rnacentral:rRNA from 1 species
UAUUUUGACUAUACAAAGGUAUUGUAAUAAGAUUUUAAUUGAAUGCUAAAAGAAUGGAAAUUUAAAAAAAAACUUUUUUAAAAAUAAAAAUUGAAUUUUUUUUAAUUUGUGCAAAAACAAUUAUAUUAAUUAAAGACAAGAAGACCCUAAGAAUUUAAGAUUUUACAAUUAAAAAGUUUUUUUUUAAAAUCUUGAUUGGGGCGAUCAAAAAAUAUUAAUAACUUUUUAAAAUUUAAAUUGAUCUAUUAUUAAUAAACUAAUGAAUUAAAUACUCUAGGGAUAACAGCGUAAUAAUUUUUGAUAGAUCUUAUUGACAAAAUAGUUUGCGACCUCGAUGUUGGAUUAGGAUUCUUUUUUAAUGAAGAAGUUAAAAAAAGAAGUUUGUUCAACUUUUAAAUUCCU